rnacentral:lncRNA from 1 species
GAAUACCGCAAUUAUGAUCCGACAUUUUCGAUAAUCGUUCAACGUGCAAAAAAUUUUAAUUGCAGAGUACUGUUUGAACGUCAAACAUCCAUUGAAAGUAAAAAAAAAAAAAAAAGCGGGUGAGAUGUGAGCUGUGAUCGUUCGGCUUAUUUUUAGCUCCACCUAUCUAGUGUAACUUGCGUGAACAAGCGGCCUAGGAAGAGAUAACUGUUCUAGCCGUAGACACCAAUCUUUGUUAAGAGAUCGGAUGCCCAGUCUCUUCGCCUACAUUGAUAAGGUAUCUUGUCGCAUGUGACUACAGACAACCUUAUUCACCAGACCGACCACUGCAGACAUCCCUUGGGUAUGGAAACGAUUAUACUCACCAGGGGAAUCGAACUCACGGUCUCAAAGUGCUUCGUUUACUAUGUGACGCGUUAUCCGACUCACCUACCCGACCCGCUCUCGAUUUGUAUUAUUAAGAGACGUAUUUGUAGGCCUACUUUAUUUUAUACCUUGAUGUGGCGUGUUCAUCUGACUAUCAACUCCCAACGACUCUUGUAUGGUCAUUUUAGCAUUUAAUCCCAAAAUAAAUUCUCAAGAAAUUACGAAAUUACAAGAAAAAAAAAAUUGAAGUGUGGUGUUUGGACACCCGAGGAGGAGAGAACCUACAAGAAAACUAAACAUCCAAUAUUCCAAGUCUUCCUUAAACAUUACUGUUAGUAAUCAUUCGUCCGGCCAUCAAAUCAAAGGUAAAACUCAAUUCUUUGCGCUUUCUUUAAUUUUAAAUUAAAUUUUAAAUACAUCUCCAGUAUCAUGCAUCCGCAUUUUCAUGGCGGCCAUUCGUAGCUCGUAGAUUUCCCUCUUGUCCAUAUUUUGUUGCUUCUCCAUCUGCCGGAAUCAAUUUUGCAUUACCAGGUACAUUUCGGGUCUUUGUGGCGGAGGAAAUAGGUGGUGAAACUCGUUUCCGGGAUACCUUUGAGGAGGAGGUGUUGGUUGGGUAGCCCAUUGAAUUGGGAUGUGCUUUAGGUAGGAAUAAUACGGGUCUGCGCAAUCUCCUGUAAACCGUCCAGCUGUUGCCGUUACUGGAAUUGGGGGAGGAGGGAGUUGUGGCCUUUGCCCUGGAUUUGUUGGGCCAGUUGGGUUCGCUACCUUUCUGGUUAUCUUCUCCCAAAAGCCAAGAAGUAAUCCAAUUGAAAACAACAGUCAACACUCAACAUUGUGGCUGGUGACAUUUUGGGUGAGCUAAGUUUUCUCGGACGGUUUGUCAGAAAUCCGAAAUCAAGUCACGUGGGGCUUCCUCUUAUGUGAAGUACUGAUUGCAUCACCGAUAACGAAAGGCCGAUAACGAUCAACCUCAUAACAAACAGGCAUCGCAAUAUUUUUUCAUUAUUUUUAUUCGUCUGAUUUUUUUAUCAAGAGAACAAAAAAAGAUCAGAUCGGAUUGAAUAGCUGUCUUUCUUGGGAACAGGUUAACUUUUGUUUAAAUGUAUUACUUCUCUUUUACUUACUUUUGUGCUUCAUUUCACAUGUUUCUGUUUUUUUUUUAUGAAUUAGAAUUAGGGAAGGACAUUUAUUGCUUCAACCCAUGUGCAUGUGCUUCAGUUGUACCGUUUAAUAAAUUCAGAUAAAUACCUAACCUGGAAUUUUCGAAUGACAUCCAAACAUACGUUCUUUGGCGAUUAGUAGGCCUGCAGCUUUAUCUUUGUCAUCGUCGUACUUCUGUGCCCAAGUAAGUUAGCGAAUGUCACAUCUCUCUUAAUAACCCCAUCUUCCCAUCGGCGUUUUGUUUAUAUUAUGGAUUGUCAUAGAUGGCAAAAGACUAAAGCAGAGUAUUUUUGAAACCGCCAGAUCAAUGUUAACUUCAUCUUGAGUUCUGAGCCUACGCUUUUUAGGACUCAAAGAACCGCUGUAUUCAGUUAACCAUAGAUUAAGAAUUAACCGAUCGGUGUGAAACAGCUAUGUUCACCAGUAGAGUCGAACUCAGGUGUCAAAGUGCUCUUGCGAUCACUAAGCCACGCCUUAUCCGACUCACAUACCCGACCUCCCAUUGUUUGUAUAUUAGUUCAGUUAGCCUAUUUAACUUUCUUUUCAUUUUAGGCACAUUUUAUUAUCUACUCGACUUUCAGAUUCAUUCUUUAAACGUCGUUAUUUCUAUCGUUAACAUAAAAAAAAAAUUAUGUGCUUUGCUCUUCUUUUUACAUCGAAAGAAAACAAAAAGUUCGGAUGUGACUACUAGAUGGCAACUGCAAAUUUAGUAUAUUUAAAUAUGGCUGGUAGGUGGCGUCAUGCGCUCUCAGGGGGUAGUUAGCACUAGCAGUCGACGAAAAAUGGAGAAUCGGCCGAAACCUGAAAGAAUACUGUUUUUGAAGGACUAAGAAUAUCAAAAGUACCAUCCUUAUUGACAGAAACAUCAUUCAUAGUCUUAUUAACUAGGUUGACCUUCCAUUUGAUUGGAGGAUCCGGCGACUUCUUCAUCACCCCUUCCUGGAUUUUUCCCUUUCCUCGAGUCUUCGUGUACGUUCAUGUGAAUGUGAACGUAUUCACGGGGACGUCCUUUUUUUUGCAUUUCUCCUCAUUGUUUCACGUUCGUACCCGUCGGAAUUCCAUUCCUCGAGUCUUCCAACCAAGCUCAAGAAAUUACGAAAUUACAAGAAAAAAAAAUUGAGUAAGGACUGGGGCAAGGACAUUAACCAAUUUUGGCAACAUUGGUGCAACAAUUAAUCGUCGUCUGCCGUUUCAAUUUGGAGUGUGGUGUUUGGACACCCGAGGAGGAGAGAACCUACAAGAAAACUAAACAUCCAAGAUUCCAAGUCUUCCUUAAAAAUUACUGUUAGUAAUCAUUCGUCCGGCCAUCAAAUCAAAGGUACAUUUCGGGUCUUUGUGGCGGAGGAAAUAGGUGGUGAAACUCGUUUCCGGGAUACCUUUGAGGAGGAGGUGUUGGUUGGGUAGCCCAUUGAAUUGGGAUGUGCUUUAGGUAGGAAUAAUACGGGUCUGCACAAUCUCCUGUAAACCGUCCAGCUGUUGCCGUUACUGGAAUUGGGGGAGGAGGGAGUUGUGGCCUUUGCCCUGGAUUUGUUGGGCCAGUUGGGUUCGCUACCUUUCUGGUUAUCUUCUCCCAAAAGCCAAGAAGUAAUCCAAUUGAAAACAACAGUCAACACUCAACAUUGUGGCUGGUGACAUUUUGGGUGAGCUAAGUUUUCUCGGACGGUUUGUCAGAAAUCCGAAAUCAAGUCACGUGGGGCUUCCUCUUAUGUGAAGUACUGAUUGCAUCACCGAUAACGAAAGGCCGAUAACGAUCAACCUCAUAACAAACAGGCAUCGCAAUAUUUUUUCAUUAUUUUUAUUCGUCUGAUUUUUUUAUCAAGAGAACAAAAAAAGAUCAGAUCGGAUUGAAUAGCUGUCUUUCUUGGGAACAGAAUUAAGGAAGGACAUUUAUUGCUUCAACCCAUGUGCAUGUGCUUCAGUUGUGCCGUUUAAUAAAUUCAGAUAAAAACCUCCACCUGGAAUUUUCGAAUGACAUCCAAACAUACGUUCUUUGGCGAUUAGUAGGCCUGCAGCUUUAUCUUUGUCAUCGUCGUACUUCUGUGCCCAAGUAAGUUAGCGAAUGUCACAUCUCUCUUAAUAACCCCAUCUUCCCAUCGGCGUUUUGUUUAUAUUAUGGAUUGUCAUAGAUGGCAAAAUAUUAAAGCAGAGUAUUUUUGAAACCUGGAGGUUGAAUAAUGAUCAGAAAUCUAAGUUUAAACAAUUAAACAAUAAUUAAAAAAAAAAAAAAAAAUGUAUGGGGUUUUUCACUCUUUAGACCAAUACUGGCAUCGCCAGAUCAAUGUUAACUUCAUCUAGAGUUCUGAGCCUACGCUUUUUAGGACUCAAAGAACCGCUGUAUUCAGUUAACCAUAGAUUAAGAAUUAACCGAUCGGUGUGAAACAGCUAUGUUCACCAGUAGAGUCGAACUCAGGUGUCAAAACAUACCCGACCUCCCAUUGUUCAUAUAUUAGUUCAAUUAGCCUAUUUAACUUUCUUUUCAUUUUAGGCACAUUUUAUUAUCUACUCGACUCUCAGAUUCAUUCUUUAAACGUCGUUAUUUCUAUCGUUAACAUAAAAAAAAUUAUGUGCUUUGCUCUUCUUUUUACAUAGAAAGAAAACGAAAAGUUCGGAUGUGACUACUAGAUGGCAACUGCAAAUUUAGUAUAUUUAAAUAUGGCUGGUAGGUGGCGUCAUGCGCUCUCAGGGGGUAGUUAGCACUAGCAGUCGACGAAAAAUGGAGAAAUAUGCCGAAACCUGAAAGAAUGCAGUUUUUGAAGGACUAGAACAUUAAAAGUACCAUCCCUAUUGACAGAAACAUCAUUCAUAGUCUUAUUAACUAGGAUGAGACAGGGACACAAGCUUUGUAUCAGCAUUAGUUUUAUACUCAUUUCGAAAAUUUAAGGUUGCCCUCGUACAUCUGCUUGUGCUCUUGAGCUUCCAUAAAACUAAGCAUAAAAUUCAACACAUGUGUCAAAAAGAGCUUGACGAAAUUACAUAACCAAUAGUAGCCAUAUUUGUUUUCGACACUGGAAAGACCGCCGAACGCCCGAACGUCAUUUACGAUGAAUGACAAUGCUUUCUUCACCAAGAAAAACAGUAAAUAUUUUGAUCACUUUCAGUCUGUAUUAAUUACGUUACUGGAAAGUGUAGCAUGUCGUGCGGUACGAGGUGGAGGGCCAAUGGAAUCCAUUUGUGUUGUGUAGCGUGCACUUUGAUUCUGUAGAAAACAUUUUAAUUUUUGAAAUGGAAUCCUAGUAGGACUUUUCUCUUACUGUUAGUAUCGAUCAGAUUACUAGACUUCAUGCACCUUGGACGUCAGAGUCUAACCAAGAGGUUUGCUUCCGGAGCAGAAGAGAAAGUCAUUCCAGUUUUCGAAGCACAUCACAAUUUUCUACAGAAAUUUGCCCGGAUCUGUCGUAUUCAUCAGCCAAUUUCAGAAACAUGCUGGGUGUUCCUCAGGGUAAUCCUGUUUUAGUCUUGGGUCUUUCCAAUAAACCCGUUUACCAUAGAGCCGAGUCAGAAGUUCCGAAAACUCCACAUUAAAAAAAUGUUUCUAUUCUCC